rnacentral:rRNA from 1 species
CACGUAGGGUGCGAGCGUUGUCCGGAAUUAUUGGGCGUAAGAGCUCGUAGGCGGUGUGUCGCGUCGGCCGUGAAAACCUGCAGCUUAACUGUGGGCGUGCGGUCGAUACGGGCAUCACUGGAGUUCGGCAGGGGAGACUGGAAUUCCUGGUGUAGCGGUGAAAUGCGCAGAUAUCAGGAGGAACACCGGUGGCGAAGGCGGGUCUCUGGGCCGAUACUGACGCUGAGGAGCGAAAGCGUGGGGAGCGAACAGG